UGGGGAAUAUUGGACAAUGGGCGAAAGCCUGAUCCAGCCAUGCCGCGUGUGUGAAGAAGGUCUUCGGAUUGUAAAGCACUUUAAGUUGGGAGGAAGGGCAUUAACCUAAUACGUUAGUGUUUUGACGUUACCGACAGAAUAAGCACCGGCUAACUCUGUGCCAGCAGCCGCGGUAAUACAGAGGGUGCAAGCGUUAAUCGGAAUUACUGGGCGUAAAGCGCGCGUAGGUGGUUUGUUAAGUUGGAUGUGAAAUCCCCGGGCUCAACCUGGGAACUGCAUUCAAAACUGACUGACUAGAGUAUGGUAGAGGGUGGUGGAAUUUACUGUGUAGCGGUGAAAUGCGUAGAUAUAGGAAGGAACACCAGUGGCGAAGGCGACCACCUGGACUAAUACUGACACUGAGGUGCGAAAGCGUGGGGAGCAAACA
rnacentral:rRNA from 1 species